rnacentral:rRNA from 1 species
GACGAACGCUGGCGGCGUGCCUAAUACAUGCAAGUAGAACGCAGUUGCGAACGGGUGAGUAACGCGUAGGUAACUGCCUCAUAGCGGGGGAUAACUAUUGGAAACGAUAGCUAAUACCGCAUACUGUGAGAUGGACCUGCGGUGUAUUAGCUAGUUGGUGAGGUAAAGGGGCACCAAGGCGACGAUACAUAGCCGGCCUGAGAGGGGGUACGGCUAAACUGGGACUGUGGACCGGCCCAAACUCCUACGGGGGGCAGGAGUAGGGAAUCUUCGGCAAUGGACGGAAGUCUGACCGCGCAACGCCGGGUGAGUGAAGAAGGGUUUCGGAUCGUAAAGCUCUGUUGUUAGAGAAGCGGUAACUACCCAGAAAGGGCCGGCUAACUACGUGCCAGCCGCCGCGGUAAUAC